rnacentral:rRNA from 1 species
UGGGGAAGUAUUGCACAAUGGGCGCAAGCCUGAUGCAGCCAUGCCGCGUGUAUGAAGAAGGCCUCGGGUUGUAAGUACUUUCAGCGGGGAGGAAGGCGUUGUGGUUAAUAACCACAGCGAUUGACGUUACCCGCAGAAGAAGCACCGGCUAACUCCGUGCCAGCAGCCGCGGUAAUACGGAGGGUGCAAGCGUUAAUCGGAAUUACUGGGCGUAAAGCGCACGCAGGCGGUCUGUCAAGUCGGAUGUGAAAUCCCCCGGGCUCAACCUGGGAACUGCAUUCGAAACUGGCAGGCUAGAGUCUUGUAGAGGGGU